rnacentral:lncRNA from 1 species
CAAAUUGGAGGAGGAAUUCGGGGCUUUCAUUCACGUGAGAAACCAUAUUCUUCCCCAAAUUGAAAAUUCAAAACCUUCUUUUCCUUCAAAUUCUCAAAAAUCAUAUUCUCCUUCAAAUUCCCAAAAAUCGUCUUCUUCAGCACCUUAAGCUCUGAGUGGUACGUGCAACACGCUUGCAGAUCUAUACCAAUGCAAACACUGGCACCAGCUCACCCUUAAGCUCGAACAUUUCGUCGCACUUGCUAUCUUUCAGGUUACAAUUCACAAACAUAGAUGUGUACUAAAAUGUGCAUUCUAAGAAUUGAUUGUCAAUCGAAUUUUUUUAUUUGAAUUACUUGCCAUAUUUUUUUUUUCAAGUUAUUUUUUUUUCUAGGGAGAGGAAUACUUUAUUUUUGAUUCCUCUAUUUUUGUUCUCCAGAUUUGAGGAAUUGGGGGUGGGAGGUUAAAAAAAGACUGAAUUUAUGGUUAAUUAUAUAUAUAUUCUAUGAAAAUUUCGAAGAAUUCCAAGUUAAAAGUUCCUUGGUCAUUGUUUAUCUUUUUGUUGGAUGUAGGCCUCAAGUAUUUGCAAUAAAACAGUAGGUUAUGAAACUACAUUUGUUAGUUUAUUUCCAUUAAUGGAAAAAAUAAAUGGAUUGGACAUGUGGCUCUUAAGGUUCAUAAGGAAUAUGGUAAAAGUAAAAUACAAACUAAUUUUCAUUUUGUAAUAUUUAAGUAAAAAUUGAGCAUUUCAUAUCUUGUAAUUUCCUGAACAAGCUGACAGCUAAACCUCUGUGUAUGUGUGUUGUAUCUAUGCUAAUGGAUAAGUGGAAUUAGUUGAGAUGGCCACCCCUCACUAUGAUUUUGUCCAAAAAGUAAAUUUAGGGAGAAAUCGAAGCUACACAAUAUGUGAAUUGAGAAUGACUUGAGGUUCAUUGCUUGUGAUUUUCUUUGGUUCUUAAUUUCUUGCAUAUUGAAGUUGGUUUUAGAUGUUGAUUUUUGAAGUUGCCGAUGAUAAUCUCCUUUAUUGUCAAAAUGCUUGUGAUUAUAUGAUACCUUCAAACUACUAUAAUAUGUACAAUUGGGUUGAUCUGAUUGUUAAUUUCUCUAACUGAUCAUCAUUGAAACUCGACUACCAUGAUGCUUUAAUAUUAUUUCCUUCGUUUUGUCGAUGGGUUAAACGUGAUGUGCUUAGCUAUGAGGAACAUUAACGCUAUUUAAUGUAAAACACUCAUUAAGUUAGGCUUUCACUAGCUUCUUUUGUUUUCUAGAAGCAACCUUUUAAUUGAACUCUUAGUUAGAUUUAUUGCCUAGCACUUUUAUUUCUAGUUUUUUAUGAGGGCGAUUGAAAAUGAGCUUAGCUUACACUUUACAGUAAAAUUUUUCAGAGAGUCAUAUGUACUUAAAAUGAGGUUCAAAAUUGAUAUUGUACUUGCUCUUCAGUAUUUGAUAGGAUUAGAAAGGAAGUAAAAGAGGAUGUUAAGGAUGAGAUAAUUGACAUAUUGCCCAAAUAGGUAUGUGAGUUGAGAGUAACUUGAGGCUCAUCGUGUUUAACUAUUUUCAAAUUUGAUGUUUUCUUUCUUCUAAGUUUUGAGGAAAACAAAUAGAAGUCUGUACUUAGAAUUGGACUUUAUUCCUUUUAUUAAACUAUCAAGUAAUUUGUGAAGUGAAAUAAAAUCUUUCAUGAUGAUUUUCACGUUUCUGGUUAUAUAGCUGGUGAUUGUAUUUGCAAGAUGUUAAUAGAACUUUUUUGUAGUGAAGUACUACAGUGCUUGCAAUCUGUACAAAAUUUCUUUUUUCUUAUUUGAAAUUUGUAUGCUUAAUUUGGUUUAUACAGCUUAUAGAUCUUGUUCUUAUGUGCUUUACUGUCAUCAUUUAUUCUAAUAUUUGUAAUUGUUUUGUAUUUUGUAGUGUUAUGGAGAAGAUUCAAAUUAAUUCUACCAUAACGACUAGAUGCAAACUAAAAAUAGUAUACGAUGUUUAUGAGAAGCUGGAUAUAAAUUACAAGAACAACUUCAAGAAAGCUACUUUGGAUCACUUCUUAGACUGGAGAAUAUUAGGUUGGCUUCACAAAUUGUACAUCAAUUACUAUCGCAAAAGAUGAAGACCACUAAAAGAUAAACUGCCAAAAAAGAAGCCGUAUGGUUUAAGAUUGAAGAUAAAUAAGCAAGAUUUGGAUUGGAAGAAUUUGUGUUAUUGACCAACUUGAAUGUAGGUGAUUGUAAUGAUGUAGAUAAUACAUUGGGGACUGACUGUCAAAUUGUGGAAAAAAUAAUUUAAGCAAAGUGAGGGAAAGGUUAUUAAGUGAGAUGAGUACAAUGCAUAUGUAAGUUACAAAAAAAGAAAAAGAAAAAAGAGCAACAAGUACAAGUUGGGAUUGAUCGUCAUCUUGGCAUACAUCCUGUGGGCCACGGAGGCGAAUACAUAUAUUAAUUUAUGGUGGUUUCAUUUGGUGGAUGAUCUCAACAUGUUCGAGAAUUAUUCAUGGGAAAAAUUUCAUUUGAAUUCACAAUUAACGUAUUCAAACGUAACAUAGGGGAUAAAUUGAGAAAUUCAAAUGUAUGAUGAGAGUCACAUUGUAGGUAUUCAUUGUAUGAGUUUUUCCUUGUUAUGAUGGUAUGAACAAAUAAGGCACUUGACUUUGUAUUUUUUUUCUCUAUAAAUUUGUACUGUGAGAUAAUAAUGUUUGUUUCACAACGGAUUUGGACAUUUGAAGCGAUUUCAAGUUUGGAAAUCAAGUUUGCUAAGAAAUAUACGAAUGCAAAUCCAAAAAUGCUCGCUUGAAAAAUGUCGAAGAGGUUAACAUCUGUUGCAAUUGAGAAGGUAUUGAAAUAAAAAGAGGUAAAUUGCCUUUUUGUUUUAUUUAGUUUAAUGGAGACAAAUUGUGAAAUUUGCUUAGCAAAUGACUAAUUUUUGAACAAUUUAAUAUUUGCAAUUGGAGGUUAAUUCUAUAUUGCUUCCUACAGAAGCUGAACUCGAGAAAGUUUAUUGGAGUAGAUUCUGAUUGUGGAAAAAGAUGAGGAUGCUCCAAACCAUUCAAAAGGAGAUGAGGUUGAGUAUGAUAUUGGCCAUGUGAUUCCUUCCACCAACAAUCUCUUAGGGCGUCACAACCCCCACCCGGUAUCACAUUUGGCAAUGGAUAUACGAAUGCAAAAUACACUUGCUUCCAACAAAAAUUAGUAUUAAAGGGGUUGCACAGGUUAUAGCCAUCAUCUCAUUUAAACCUUAUGGCAGCAAUUGUAUGUGCGCAUGAUACCAUGUCAAAAUCAAAUUUUUUGCAUGUACACUUUCCUUCAUCCAAGUUCAUAAAGUGGUGUUCUAAAUUGUAACCAACCCGAUACAUGUUUUGGGAUACGUGAUUCACCUCAAACUCAUUUGACUCAUUAUAUUUCAUACACAUUUUCUUCUCCAAAGGUAACUUGAGGUGGGUUACACAUUUUUCAUUUUCGACAUUUCUUUCACAAAACCACAUUUGCAUAGUCUCUCUGAUAUACUCAAUCAAACCAUGGAAAAUUUUCGAGCACUCUUCAAAAAACAUUAUGCAGUUUUGCAUUAUUUUGUACUCAUGAUAUUGUAACGUAUCCCAAUAAAUAGUGCUCUAACCUAAUAGAGGAAAUUUUUUUCUAAUAGGCACUCUUUGACGUUCUUCUUUUACUGCAUAAAGCUUCCGUGUUGGACUCAAUUUUCGUUACAGUAUAAGCCUUCAAUGUGCACUGAACAAAGUUGCAAGAUCACACCAUGAAAAAUUGGUCUUCAAAUUCUUUUUCAAGUAUGUGCAAUUUUCAUGAUUAGCAAAUUGAAAUUGAAAGACAUUUCUAACUCCAUUUUUAAUAUAUGUCCCAUAGUUAGAUAUAAUUCCGAACUUGUCUAUAUCACCUCAUUUUAAUUGCAACUUCUAAAAUAACGAAGUUCAGAAUCCAUCAUUCUCUAAAUCAACUACUCCUCAUGUGAGUGGAAAUAUUUGAAAAUUUACACCCUGACAAGUUGCUACAAAUAGAGUACCUUUCAUUCUCGAUUUAAAAAUUGUACCAUCCACAAAAAUUAAUAGUUGCAUUGAGUUGAGGGAUCCACAUAUACUUGAUCCUAAGUCCAUAAAUAAGUACUUGAAACGUUGAUCAUCAGUAAUAUGAAUGAAUGUCAACGUAUCAAAAUUUUGUACCUCCGAAACAUGACAAUACGUUGGCAAUUUUGCAUAACUCUCACGGGUUUUUCACGAAUCAUCCCUCAAGUGAAAUCUUUAGCCAUAUACAAUUUAGUAUAACUUACAGUUAUGCCAAACUCUCGACGAAUGUCAUUAAUGAUGUCCUUUGAUUUGUAAACUUGAUUGGCAUCUUGAUAUUUAUGGGUGAUGUGGUUUCAAUAAUCGUAUAAGAAGCACGUCGAUGAUCUGUGCGACGAAUACUUGUUGAGCAAGAGUUUUGACCAUUGUAUUUUUGAAUUUCAAAAAUUGGACUUUCUUUGAUCUUGGUUGCCCGCAAG